UGUUCUCGCGGUAUUUGGAGAAAUAGGAGCAGGUAGAGAGGAGUUGGGGGAAAGGAACCUCCGCGGUAUACCAAAAGAAGCCACGGCGUCGGCAGCUCAGAGGACGGCAACGUGGGCGAUUAUUUUUUCGUAUUCUCGCGAGAAUUGGUGGCUAACCUUCUUCCCUCCUCACUUUCCUGCCUUCCUCUUCCCUACCCCUCCCCCCCCUCAAUCUGGAAACAGCGCCGUUUCGGUCUGGGAAGUAGGUAAAAAAAAGAUGGGACCCUUGACUUGGGGAACUCGCUAGAGAUUCAGGUUGAGGAAGGGGGCGCCCCCUUAGUCGAGGAUCUUGGGUUGGUCACGGGCCUCCGGGAUUUGCUCAGUGAGCGAGGCCCCGGGUCGGGCUGGAAGUGUAUACAGUCAGCCCCUCAGGAAGUUAAGGAGAAAGCAAAUGAAUUCAGUCCCCACUUUCAUUUUGUAGGGACUUUAGUUGGUGGCAAGGCAACCUUGACCCAAGGCAGCCCGCUGCUUAAAUACUUUGAGAGACUACUCUUAGGGGACCCCUUUUUCAAAAAUCUUGAAGUGACUAGUCCCCAAAACUUUUCUUUGGUUUUUUUUUGGGGGGGGGGCGUUAGUAAAGUUCAACUUCUUACCUAUUUACAAACUGGGAUUUUUGGGGGGCAUAUUUUACCCCUUUAAUCCACCCUUUUGAGCAAUUAAUACCCUAAAAGUAGGAGUUAAUUUAGUUUAGGAGUUAAGGAAGAGCAGGGGGCUUACUCAGGGGUUAAAACAUCCUCUUUUCCCUUCCUACAUGUGAAGUGUGAGAUCAGAGGAUCUUUUUGAUAGAGUUGUUUUCCUCCAGGUGAAAGGCAGCUCAACUCAGUUUCAGAUUUAUUUCUGAGGCAGCCUUAUCUUACAACAUUCUGCAUGUGAUUGCAGAAUCAGGUAUUCAUAGAGCAACCCCAUUUAUCCUGGUAAAGAGACAAGGGUGGGUUGAAUGUAGGACAUAGAUAACAAAGGAAAAAGUAGCCCUUCCAUCGUAGGGGGAGGGGCUUGAAGAGUAGAAUUUGGGCUUUUUGGAGGAUUCCUCCCUCUUUUCAAGCACAGUGGAGAAGGAAUGCCAAACCCAGAGAGACAUGGGGGCAAGAAGGAUACGGGAGGUGGGGGGUCUUUGCAUCAAGAUGCAGUGUCCAGCAGUGGGAGCUCAAACAGCAGAGAAAGGCAUCGACUCUCCAAGCAUAAAAGACACAGAUCCAGGCAUUCCAAAGAUUCGCCGUUGGGGUCCCAAGAAGGAGGAGCACCUCUUGGCAGCAUGAUCAAGCCAUUGGUAGAAUAUGACGAUAUCAGCUCUGAUUCUGACACUUUCUCAGAUGAAGCCGUCCUCAAGUUGGAACGUAGAGAAAAUGAUGAGAGGAAAGGGACAUCAGACAGGAGUGAUCGAUUACAUAGACAUCGUCAUCAUCAACACAGGCGUGUCCGUGAAUUGAUAAAAAGUAAGCUGGGAGACAAGGAGAAGAGAAUGGACAGAAACCAAGAGUCCUCAGGCAAGUUGAGUUCUAGUAAGGAUAGACUAUCUGGCACUUCCAAAAGGCUACAUGAGGAGAAUGAUGACCACUCAUCUAAAUCAUUCAAGAGCAGCAGCAAAGAGUCCCGCUCAGCCAAACUGCAUAAGGAGAAGUCUAGAAAAGAACGGGAGGCAAAAUCUGGUCACAAGGAUCACAGUAAAAGUCAUCGGAAAAGAGAUGCCCCCAAAAGUUACAAGUCAUUGGACAGUCCAAAGCGGAAAUCCAGAAGUCCACACCGCAAGUGGUCAGAUAGUCCUAAACAAGAUGACAGCCCCUCAGGAGCAUCCUAUUCACAGGACUAUGACAACAGCCCUCCACGCUCACAUACAUCCAGUAACUAUGAUUCAUAUAAGAAAAGUCCUAGUGUAUCCUCACGACGACCAUCAGUCAGCCCUCCAUAUAAGGAACCUGCUGCCUACCAAUCCAGUAUGCGUUCUCCCAGUCCUUAUGGCAAGAGACAGCGGUCGGUCAGUCCAUACAGCAGGAGGCGUUCAUCCAGUUAUGAAAGAGGAAGUGGGUCAUACAGUGGAAGAUCUCCCAGCCCAUUCAAUCGAAGGCGCUCCAGCAGUCCUUUUGUUUCCAAACGGUCUCUGAGUCGUAGUCCUGUUUCCAGGAAGCCCAUGAAAUCCCGAAGCAGAAGUCCUACUUAUUCAAGGCAUUCUUCAUCUCAUAACAAAAAACAGAGAACUGGGUCUCGCAGUCGCCAUUCCAGUAUCUCACCUGCUCGGCUACCACUGACCUCCAGUUUAGGAGCUGAGCUGAGUAGGAAGAAAAAGGAGAGGGCUGCAGCCGCAGCCGCAGCAGCAAAAAUUGAUGUAAAGGAGAUUAAGGACUCAUCUAGCUUGGUGUCUAGAAAAGAAAAUAAUUUAGCUGAAGUAAAAGAGUCUAUAAUGGAUGUCAGGAAGGUAAAAAUGGCUAAGCCUGAAAAAUGUCCUCAUGAUCUGGUGACGGUAAAUACUCCACAACACAACGCAGAGAUGAAAACAACUCCUGAGCCUGUCAAAACAAAGACAGUAGAAAAUUCUGAAAAGAAACGUCUUGCUUUGGUUAAAGACUCAAAAACUGUGGGAACAAAAAAUAUAAAACUUGUUAUAGCAAAGGAGGAAAUUGUGACUCCAAAACAAAUAGAGACCUCUGAGCAAGAGGCCCAACCUCCUUUGCCUUCUGUAAAGUCACUCCCUCCUUUACCAACAUCAUCCCCACCUCCUCAGAUUCCUCCACCAUUGCCCCCUUUGCCUCCAUUGCCAAUUGUCCCCCCUCUGCCAUCUGCCCAGUCAUCUACCAUUCACAGCCCUGCUUUAGUUCCUCCACCAUUUUCUACCCUUUCUAAAACGACCUUGACUUCUCAGGCUAAUUCCCAGUCCACCAUGCAAUCCUCCUCAAAGGGACAUGGUUCUGUGACCAUAGCUGUUCCUCAUCUGAAAACAUCAACGUUGCCUCCACUCCCUUUGCCACCAAUCUUGCCUGGGGAAGAUGAAUUGGAAAGUCCAAAGGAGAUUGUUCCUCUGAAGUCUGUGAAGAAAGAGAAAGAACAGAGACCACGACACUUGCUUACAGACCUCCCACUUCCUCCAGAGCUUCUUGGUGGAGACCCUUCACCGCCAGAGUCUCCAGAACCAAAGGCAGCCACACCACCUCAGCAAUCAUUAAGAAAGAGACCAAAAAUUUGUUGCCCUCGUUAUGGUGAGAGGAGACAGACAGAAAGUGAUUGGGGAAAGCGCUGUGUGGACAAAUUUGAUAUUAUUGGUAUUAUUGGUGAGGGAACAUAUGGGCAAGUGUACAAAGCCAAGGAUAAGGAUACAGGUGAAUUGGUAGCUUUGAAAAAAGUAAGGCUGGACAAUGAAAAGGAAGGCUUCCCUAUUACAGCUAUCCGUGAAAUCAAGAUUCUCAGACAAUUGAUUCAUCGGAGUGUUGUCAACAUGAAGGAAAUUGUUACAGACAAACAAGAUGCACUGGAUUUCAAGAAGGACAAAGGUGCCUUUUAUCUUGUAUUUGAAUAUAUGGACCAUGACCUCAUGGGAUUGCUAGAAUCUGGGUUGGUGCAUUUCUCAGAGGAUCAUAUCAAAUCAUUCAUGAAGCAGUUGAUGGAGGGACUGGACUAUUGUCACAAAAAAAACUUUCUUCAUCGAGAUAUCAAAUGUUCCAACAUCUUAUUAAAUAACAGUGGGCAGAUCAAGCUGGCAGACUUUGGUCUUGCUCGACUUUACAGUUCAGAAGAAAGCCGUCCAUAUACCAAUAAAGUCAUUACAUUAUGGUAUCGACCACCAGAGUUGCUGCUAGGCGAGGAGCGUUACACACCAGCUAUAGAUGUCUGGAGCUGUGGUUGCAUCCUUGGGGAACUGUUUACAAAGAAACCUAUUUUUCAAGCUAAUCUUGAGUUGUCCCAGCUUGAAUUAAUCAGCCGUCUUUGUGGGAGCCCGUGUCCAGCUGCAUGGCCAGAUGUCAUCAAACUUCCCUACUUCAACACCAUGAAACCUAAGAAGCAAUAUCGCAGGCGUCUGCGGGAGGAGUUUUCUUUCAUUCCUUCUGCUGCCCUCGACUUACUAGACCAUAUGCUAACACUGGACCCCAAUAAACGAUGUACAGCAGAACAAGCCUUGCAGAGUGAUUUCCUAAAGGAUGUUGAUAUCAGCAAGAUGGAUCCUCCAGACCUCCCUCGUUGGCAGGAUUGUCAUGAACUCUGGAGUAAGAAACGCCGGCGGCAAAGGCAAAGUGGGAUUGCGGUGGAGGAACCUCCCUUGGCAAAGGUUUCCCGGAAGGACACAGCUUCUGUAAUAAGCACUGAAGCUAACAAGAAUCAUAGCAGCCCAGUACCCCCCCAGCCUGCUCAGAUCAAAACACAACCUGGUGCUGGAGACACAUUUGCUAGUAACAUGAAGGCUAAAUUCCAGAUGUGUAGAGGAUUCCAGAUUGAGAGAUGUUUCCAUAGAUUCAGCUCCGCAAGUAGGCAUACAAUCCAUCCUGAUAUGUCAGGUCUUGGUGACAUCACACAGCAGCUGAAUCAGAGUGAGCUGGCUGUCUUACUGAACUUGUUGCAGAGCCAGACAGACCUAAGUGUUCCACAGAUGGCCCAGCUACUCAACAUUCAUUCAAACCCUGAGAUGCAGCAACAGCUAGAGGCCCUUAACCAAUCUAUCAAUGCACUCAAUGAAGCCACCACCACUCAGCAAGUGCAGGAUUCCCAGAAAGUGCCUGAAGAGGAAACAGCUGUUGAGGAACCAGGCCGUCUCUCUGAGGAACAACCCACUCCUGAAGCAGCAGGCACUCAGGGAGACAUGCAAAGCGUUCUGGCAGUUUUGCUGAGCCAGCUAAUUAAAACCCAAGAGCCUGCAACAAAUACAGAGCAGAAUAGCAGUGACAAGAACAGCGAUCUACGGGGGCCGCGGAAAACCCCCACUUUGCCUCAGGAGGAAACUGCAGGUUAAAUUCUGGAUAAUGGUUAAAAGAGGUCUACUUUCAGCCCAGGAAACAGCCCAGGAAGCAUGCUCUUCAGGGAGAGGAGAACCAAAGUUUGAAUAGACGUGCCAUUGGGCAAAGAACUGGCUAGAUCAUGACUUUUUGCCUAAUCAGAUGGCAACUUUUUUUUGGUUGAAGGGUGAGGAAUAUAACAUUUGCACUAGUUCUUCAAAGAAGAUACGAUUGGCCGGCAGACACAGUUGAAUCUUGCUGCUAUUACUCAGACUCCUCCUUUUCAGGAAAGAACAGAAAGAAGUUCAUGCAAAUCAUCAUCCAUUUUAGGUUUGAAGGCUGCCAAUUUGGAAGAAGAAACAUCAACUCAACUUGACUUCUCCAUAACACUGGCAUCUGCAUGUGAACAUUUUGGUGUCUAUUUUUAUAACAAGGCAAACCAAAAAAUCAAUUCUUUUGAAAAUAGAAACUCUUAUUAUAGAAAGAUUGAACGCUAAUUGCUAAGAACAACAGUUUAAUUUUGAGCAAACUCUGAUCUUGACAUCCUGUCUUUUUAACUCUUGAUUGUACUUCCGACUGAUCUCUUGAAUUUGUAUUCCCUCCCGCCCCCCCCCCCCCCCGCCUUAAUGACACUAACCUUGUUUAGCUCUUUAAAUUCACAUUUGGCUGCUAAUAUUUCCUAGUCAUGGUUCAUGACAUCUUUGGGAUUUGACCCUGGAUUUUGCUAAGUCCACUAGACACAGUACAAUUAUCCCUAGUUAAAAAAAAGAAGAAGAAGACAUUGUUCACAUAUUGCUUGCUGAUGAUUUAUAGAAAAAGUAGAGGUGGCUGGGUUCAAACAGCUAAACCAGAAGUCAUGGUUUACAAACAGAUUUCAUGUACUAGGCUAAGGCACAAAUUUGGAGGAAAAAUCACAUUAUAGCUUAUUAAUUUGAGAAGCCAGUCUGUGUCUGAUUUUGACAUAAACAGCUGUUGGAGCUUAAAUGGCCCACAGACCUAGAAGCCCUGUUCUGGUUUGAUGUCAUCUAGUUUUAUCUAUAUAAAUAUUAGAGAAGAGCCACAAUAAUUUUGCAUUGGCCUCUUUGUUACAAAAUAGACUACUGAGUAUACUGCAGAAUGUGUUACAUUCUUCCUGUUCCUAUGAGUGAAUGUGGGGCUGAAACUGUAAGGGAGAAUCAUUUUUGAAAUUUUCAAUGCUAGUUGGAGAUAAAAGGAGAUAAUGCCCUACACAGGGAUACCAUUGUUCAUGCUGGUAUCUCAGUGUUUUAUUAUUGUGUGUCUAAUGCUAAAACUUAUUUAUUUGCUUUGAAAGGCUUAAUCCACCCAUUACUCUGUGGGUAUAAAAAGGGGGUUUGGGGGCACUUCCAUGUAGCCUGUUAGUUCUCCCUGGACAUAGUAGCACCAUGGUUUAUUUGAAUCUGUCUUAAUGUUUUAUGUAAAUUCAGCUUCUAGAUGUGUGCACCAUAGUUUAUGGUUAUGUUGUAAGAACCCAGCUAGUUAUUUCCUAUUCAGUAAACUAUAGUUAGGACAAAGCCAACUAUGUAUUACUGGAACAUGUAAACUCCAAGCUUUGUAUUAGAUGAUUUUUUUUUCUGCCACACAGGUUGAUAAUUAUGAUGACUGUUGUUUUUAAUUAGCUAUUUUAUUUGCAUUAUGUAGUUCAAUUGGAUUCUAAAGGUGGCAUAUAUACAAAUGUUCUAAAUUACAUAAGUAAUCAUCAGAAUUAUUCCAAUUACAGACAAACAAAAACAAAAAUCUGUAAAUGAAAUAACAAAUGAGCUAGCUAAACCAAAGACCUCAUUUUGUUGAGUCAACUGCUUGUUGAGUACCUUAGUAAGGAUAAUGUUGUUUUCAUAGUUUUGUAGUUAGUUUUUUUUUAGUUUUAUAGUUCAAUUGCCAAAAUUAAUUCAAUAUUUUAAAAAGAAAGUGGAAGAGAUUUGCACAAAUGAAGACAGAAUGGCAGACUUCUCAAUCAAAUUUUUCUACAACAGUCCAAACUACAUGUUUUAAUUAAACUUGCUUACAAUUAUAACACAGGUUUAAGCAUGAGGAUCUUGCAACAAAGAUGGAGGAGCAUUACAUUUCAAAAAAUAUAUUUAAAGAUAAACUAAUUUUUUUAAAGUAUUGUGAAAUGUUGCCCAAUUGAAAUAGAAAACCAAUGGACUAACAACAAAAUUUAGAGCAGGUCCCCCAAUCACUGACUGCAUUUAAAUCUUCUGGCUUUAUAUGCUGUUGUUCAAAUAACUGUGGCUAAAUGGAUAAAUGCUAUAAAUGCAUGUUUCUCUCUGGCUGAUUUUGGGCCAUAAUCAUGGUUAUGUAUGUUUUUACAUACAUCUUAAGUGGAGCAUUAUAGUUUAACAUAGUCAGUUUAAGAAGUUCAUGUAAUGAUUUAGUAUUUGAUGUUGAUUUUAUUCCAGUCAUGUAAGAAACAUCAGGUUAGAGUUCCCCAAGAAGAAUACAAGGAAGGACUCACAUAAUGCAAAUUGUGAUUAGGGCAGGAAGAGAUGUUCAAGGAAGAAAUCCGUAGAUAGUGGUCCUCACUAUCUUUGUAAAACUUGACUUAUCAUUAAAUCAUGGGCAAAUAUUCAAAAUGAUGCCAUUCAUUCAAAAAUUCUUUGGCUUGUGGGUAUAAAGUUGACUUUCUUAUGGAGGCUGUGCCAUAUGUAAAUAGAUGUUAUUUUUAAUUCCCAUUGUUUAAUGUGUAAUAAAAUAGAUGACAAAAUAAUAUGCAACUUUCUAUAGAAUUCUUGGGAUGCAUUAUAGUAAACAAAGCAACAUUGAGUAAUAUUGUGUGCUCAAAUCCCAAUAUUUCCUACAUCAUGUACAUGGUUCACAUCGAUAAACUGAUUUUAUGGAGAAAGAGAGAAAAAAAAGAAAAGCAGCCAUUUAUGGAAAGAGCUCAUUUUUAAGAGAUGCUUUUUUCUAAAAGAUUUUAAAUGAAAGAUGCAUCUGAAAGAUGGAUAGAUGAAUGAAAAAAGGGGAACCUAAGCUAUAUUGAAGGUUAAGGGAGAAAAUCUACAAGGCAAAUUACUCCCUGGUAUUAAUUUUAUAGAGCACAGCUCAGAAACAGAUUCUCCUACAUGUGAAAUUAAUGGGAUAUACAGAAGAACACUAAAAAGAAAUUCAGGGCCUAAGGUGCUGUAUGAGGAAACCUGAGUUCUAGCUCUGCCCAAGGCAUAAGGUCAUAUUACAGUGGCCUUGAGAUUAUCACUUUUUUUCAGUCCAAAAUAUGUUGCAUUGAAAACUGUAUGGACAAGCCCCAGGAGUCAAGACUGACUUAAAGGCUAAAAAAAGUAAGAGCACUACAUAACCUUUGCCAUGCAAUAUUUCAGUUUCACAUUGAUUCAUCAUGGGGCAACCUCCUUUUGAAAGAUCUAUAAAUGUGUGAGAAUGAGGGAAAAGAUGGUAUAACAUCCAGAAGAAUGUGCCAAGAAGGAUAAGAAAAACAAAGUAAGGAAGCUAUGUGAAGUUUAAAAGACUGCAAUAAUUUCAGAUCUUUCUCUCUCUGAUUUUCUCAUCUGUCUAUUAAAAUUAAACCUAGGUAUAUCUGUCUGAGACUUGCACAGAGAUGGCAACAGAAGAGGACAAGGGUGAGGAACUCUCAAUAAUCUAGCAAUCAUGGCCAAUAGUGGAAAAAUACUGUGAAAUGUACUUCAGCAAAUUCUGAAUAGAGAUAAUGUAGAUGUACAUGCCUAAGCAAAAUAAAACCAAAAUGAUGAAACGUA